UUUCCGUAGGUGAACCUGCGGAGGGAUCAUUAUCGAGUUUUGACUGGUUUGUAGCUUGCCUUCCUAGGCAUGGUCGCUCCCUGCGCAUCGACUCUACACCCGUGCACUUACUGUGGGGAGCAGAUCGGGGAGCCUGCUCUUUUAUAUGACCUUGGGAAGCGUGUAUUUGCCUGCCUUUAUCACAAACACUAUAAAGUAUCAGAAUGUGUAUUACGGUAUAAAGCAUCUAUAUACAACUUUGAGCAACGGAACGCUUGACCCUCACAUCGAUGAAGAACG
rnacentral:misc_RNA from 1 species